UUCUGUGCCAUGCCUGCUUAGGGGCUGGAUACAGGUCUGCCUGACCAUGCCUGUGAGGGUGUGGUCAGGGUGAUGUAGAGUGAGAGGUCCAGGUGGCUGGGGUUUCACUUUCAGUUUCAUCUUUCAGCUUGCUGUACAGACUGUUGCCGCGCUGGCUGGCUAGGUCGCUCUUUGCAGGUACCAUCUUACAGCCAUCAUGUCUGUGUAAAGAAAGCAAGAGUGCCUAAGGAGGUGACCUGGACUGUGAACAUCCACCCUGACCAGCCUGGAAGCCAACAGUUAAUCAUACAGCAGAAUCCAGAGAAAUUCAACAAGGGCCAUUAGGAGUGAAAGCAUGCAAACUAGAAGCUGAGGAGUGCUAUGUUGUGAAAUACUGUCAACUGGACAUGCUAUGGCUAUGGACACUCACGAACUGUGGAUAUCUACAGCUACAUCAAUACAGUGAUAAAAAUUGCAACAUUGAUAGAGGAGAUGGUGUCAAGGCUCCACCCAUUACUGAGGAGGUUUUGGCAGCUGAUAGCUGAUUUGAAAGAACUCCUUGGAGAUGACGGCUCCAUCUAGGACUUGCCUAGGAAAAGAAGCAAUGAGGGCAGAUCACUGUGUAACGCUAGAUAGCCUUCAUCCAGUAGCUGUUCGAAGCAAAAACAGGCACCCACAGGCUCAGAGAUCUAUGCAGAAGAGGAGACAGAAAGAUUGUAAUAGCCAGAGGUUGUGGAUAUCUCCAAGGAAACAACAUAUUCCAGGCACGUGGAUGGAACUAGAAGAAACCAUUCUGAGUGAGGUAACCCAGUCGCAAAAAGACAGAAAUGGUAUGUACUCACUCACAUAUGGAUUUUAGACAUGGAGCAGGAGAUUGCCAGCCUACAAUCUACACUGCCAGAGAAGCUAGGAAACAAGGAUGAUCCUAAGAGAGACAUAAAUGGUCCCCCGGAGAAGGGGAAAGGGACAAGAUCUCCUGAGCUAAUUGGGAGCAUGGGAGAGCAGAAAAGGAGUUAGGAGAAAGAGAAGGGGAGAAGAGGAGGGGAGAGGAGGACAUGAGAGAGCAGGAAGAUGGAGUCAGGAGAAGUAUAGAGGAGAGCAAGAAAAGAGAUACUAUCAUAGAGGGAGCCAUUAUAGGCUUUAAGCGAAAUCUGACACUAGGGAAAUGUCCAGGGAUGUACAAGGAUGACACCAACUAACAAUCUUAGCAACAGUGGAGAGGCUACCUUAAAUGCCCCCCUCAGAUAAUGAGAUUAAUGACUACCUUAUAUGCCAUCCUAGAGCCUUCAUCAGCAGCUGAUGGAAGCAGAAGAAGACACCCACAGCUAAACACUGAGCUGAACUCUGGAAUCCAGUUGCAGAGAGGGAGGAGUGAUGAGCAAAGGGGUCAAGACCAGGCUGGAGAAACCCACAGAAACAGCUGACCUGAACAUGGAGUUGCUCAUGGACCACAGACUGAUAGCUGGGAAACCAGCAUAGGACUGUUCCAGACCUCUUUAAUGAGCAUGUCAGUUUGGAGGUCUGGGUAAUCCAUGGGGCCUCUGGUAGUGGAUCAGUAUUUAUCCCUAGUACACAAAUGGACUUUGGGUGCCCAAUCCACAUAGAGGGAUACUCUCCCAGCCUAGACACAAAGAGAAGGGUCUAGGCUCUGCUCUAAAUGAUAUAAUAGACUUUGUACAUCCCCCAUGGAAGGCUCACCUUCCCUGGGGAGCAGAAAGGGAAAGGGAUAGGGGGUCAGUUAGGGACAUGGGAUUGACAUGUAAAACAAGCUUGUUUCUAAUUUAAAUAAAAAUUCACUUAAAAAAGAAGAACUUCUUCAGAAAUGGUAAAAGAAAAUGUACAAUUAAAGUGAUGGUUGAAGAUAUGGAUUUCCUCCCCACAAAUAACAUAUAAAAGGUAAAACUUGUCACUUUAGAGAAGG
rnacentral:lncRNA from 1 species